rnacentral:rRNA from 1 species
UACAAAAAAUACAAACGUUAUUCGGAAUUACUGGGCGUAAAGGGCGCGUAGGCGGUUUGAUAAGUCAAAUGUGAAAGCCCACGGCUUAACCGUGGAAAUGCAUUUGAAACUGUCAGACUUGAGUACCAGAGGGGAAAGUGGAAUUCCCGGUGUAGAGGUGAAAUUCGUAGAUAUCGGGAGGAAUACCGGUGGCGAAGGCGACUUUCUGGCUGGAUACUGACGCUGAGGCGCGAAAGCGUGGGGAGCAAACAGG